rnacentral:rRNA from 1 species
AGUGAACGCUGGCGGUAGGCCUAACACAUGCAAGUCGAACGGCAGCACAGUAAGAGCUUGCUCUUACGGGUGGCGAGUGGCGGACGGGUGAGGAAUACAUCGGAAUCUACUUUUUCGUGGGGGAUAACGUAGGGAAACUUACGCUAAUACCGCAUACGACCUACGGGUGAAAGCAGGGGAUCUUCGGACCUUGCGCGAUUGAAUGAGCCGAUGUCGGAUUAGCUAGUUGGCGGGGUAAAGGCCCACCAAGGCGACGAUCCGUAGCUGGUCUGAGAGGAUGAUCAGCCACACUGGAACUGAGACACGGUCCAGACUCCUACGGGAGGCAGCAGUGGGGAAUAUUGGACAAUGGGCGAGAGCCUGAUCCAGCCAUACCGCGUGGGUGAAGAAGGCCUUCGGGUUGUAAAGCCCUGUUGUUGGGAAAGAAAAGCAGCAGGUUAAUACCACGCUGUUCUGACGGUACCCAAAGAAUAAGCACCGGCUAACUUCGUG